AGGGUUUGAUCCUGGCUCAGGACGAACGCUGGCGGCGCGCCUAACACAUGCAAGUCGAGCGAAGUUUAAACGGCAGCGAUUUCGAUCAAUGCAGUUUAAACUUAGCGGCGGACGGGUGAGUAACACGUAGGCAACCUGCCCAUGACACGGGGAUAGCUUCGGGAAACCGGAGGUAAUACCCCAUAACACCUUUUGGUGGCAUCACUAAAAGGUCAAAGAAUUUCGGUAUAGGAUGGGCCCGCGUCUGAUUAGCCAGUUGGUGGGGUAACGGCUCACCAAAGCGACGAUCAGUAGCCGGCCUGAGAGGGUGAACGGCCACACUGGAACUGAGACACGGUCCAGACUCCUACGGGAGGCAGCAGUGGGGAAUAUUGCGCAAUGGGGGGAACCCUGACGCAGCAACGCCGCGUGAGUGAAGAAGGCCUUCGGGUCGUAAAGCUCUGUCAUUGGGGACGAAGGAGUGACGGUACCCAAGGAGGAAGCCCCGGCUAACUACGUGCCAGCCGCCGCGGUAAUAC
rnacentral:rRNA from 1 species